GCAGAUAUAGUUUAACAAAAAUGUUGGAUUGUGAUUCCAAAGAAAAGGGUUCAACCCCCUUUAUCCGCC
rnacentral:tRNA from 1 species